CAGUAGCCGCGGUAACACAGAGGGUGCGAGCGUUAAUCGGAUUUACUGGGCGUAAAGCGUGCGUAGGCGGCUUCUUAAGUCGGAUGUGAAAUCCCUGAGCUUAACUUAGGAAUUGCAUUCGAUACUGGGAAGCUAGAGUAUGGGAGAGGAUGGUAGAAUUCCAGGUGUAGCGGUGAAAUGCGUAGAGAUCUGGAGGAAUACCGAUGGCGAAGGCAGCCAUCUGGCCUAAUACUGACGCUGAGGUACGAAAGCAUGGGGAGCAAACAGGAUUAGAUACCCCUGUAGUCCCUGUCUCUUAUAA
rnacentral:rRNA from 1 species